rnacentral:rRNA from 1 species
AGAGUUUGAUCCUGGCUCAGAAUCAACGCUGGCGGCGUGCCUAACACAUGCAAGUCGAACGCGAAAGUCCCGCAAGGGAUAAGUAGAGUGGCAAACGGGUGAGUAACACGUGGGUGACCUGCCUUCGAGUGGGGGAUAACGUCCCGAAAGGGACGCUAAUACCGCAUGACAUCCUGCCUUUGAACAGGUGGAGAUCAAAGCUGGGGAUCGCAAGACCUAGCGCUUGAAGAGGGGCCCGCGUCCGAUUAGCUAGUUGGUGGGGUAACGGCUCACCAAGGCGACGAUCGGUAGCCGGCCUGAGAGGGCGGACGGCCACACUGGGACUGAGACACGGCCCAGGCUCCUACGGGAGGCAGCAGUGGGGAAUUGUUCGCAAUGGGCGCAAGCCUGACGACGCAACGCCGCGUGGAGGAUGAAGAUCUUCGGGGUCGUAAACUCCUUUUCGAUCGAGACGAACGGCCCCCGGGUGAACAAUCUGGGGGAGUGACGGUACCGAGAGAAGAAGCCCCGGNCUAACUCCGUGCCAGCAGCCGCGGUAAUACNGGGGGGGCAAGGCGUUGUUCGGAAUUACUGGGCGUAAAGGGCUCGGUAGGCGGCCAACUAAGUCAGACGUGAAAUCCCUCNGCUUAACCGGGGAACUGCGUCUGAUACUGGAUGGCUUGGAAUCCCGGGAGAGGGGAUG